GCGCAACCCCUCGCAUUCAGUGCCAUCGGGUGAAGCCGGCACUCUGGAAGGACUGCCAUCGACAAGAUGGAGGAAGGUGGGGACGACGUCAAGUCAUCAUGGCCCUUAUGUCCAGGGCGACACACGUGCUACAAUGGCCGGCACAACGGGAAGCGAGUUCGCGAGGACGAGCGGAUCCCUUAAAGCCGGUCGCGGUUCGGAUUGAAGUCUGCAACUCGACUUCAUGAAGCUGGAAUCGCUAGUAAUCGCAGAUCAGCCAAGCUGCGGUGAGUACGUUCCCGGGCCUU
rnacentral:rRNA from 1 species